rnacentral:lncRNA from 1 species
CUUCCUCUUGUUCCCCUUUUGAUUUACUGGACUCUUCCUUUUGUUUGAUUCUUUUUUUUUCUCUUUUUUGUCUGAACCACCUCUAUCCGAAUUUUCAACAAUUAUUGGCGGUGGUGUUUGAGUUAAAGUGUUGAAAGAUGGGGCAUGAACUUCAUCUGUAGAAGUUCCUUCGACUAAUCUUGGGCUCUUUCGAGGAGUUACAACCAUGAUUUUGUUGGAAACCGAAUUGAAAGAAGGCAUUUUCAUAGUUGGUUGGUGAGAACGAUUUGAGAGAGAUGGAAUUUGGGAGAGAUGGAAUUGAGAAACAAUGGUGAUAGUGGGAUUGUAGGUGGUGGCGUGUGUGAGUGAAUAAUCAUGGGUUAGGGAGGUGGGAUUGACGAAUAUUGGAGGG